GACGAACGCUGGCGGCGUGCUUAACACAUGCAAGUCGAACGGAAAGGCCCUGCGUUUGUGGGGUGCUCGAGUGGCGAACGGGUGAGUAACACGUGAGUAACCUGCCCUUGACUUUGGGAUAACUUCAGGAAACUGGGGCUAAUACCGGAUAGGAUCUCCUGCUGCAUGGUGGGGGUUGGAAAGUUUCGGCGGUUGGGGAUGGACUCGCGGCUUAUCAGCUUGUUGGUGGGGUAGUGGCUUACCAAGGCUUUGACGGGUAGCCGGCCUGAGAGGGUGACCGGCCACAUUGGGACUGAGAUACGGCCCAGACUCCUACGGGAGGCAGCAGUGGGGAAUAUUGCACAAUGGGCGGAAGCCUGAUGCAGCAACGCCGCGUGCGGGAUGACGGCCUUCGGGUUGUAAACCGCUUUCGCCUGUGACGAAGCGUGAGUGACGGUAAUGGGUAAAGAAGCACCGGCUAACUACGUG
rnacentral:rRNA from 1 species